rnacentral:lncRNA from 1 species
UCAGAGAACAGUAAUGUUGCUGAUACAGCACUUCCAGUUCAGUCACAGGAAUACUGAAGUGGUUUUCAGAAGAUAAUUUAAAAAGCACUCAGUUGACAGGAUGUUUCUUCAGGGAACCAUUGAUCGCAUUUUCAAAUUGCAACAGAGCCAGAGAUUGUCUUCAUUUUAAUUUCAAUAUCAGGAAUGCCUUAAGUGACGAUCACAGCUAACCCAUUUUAAUGACAACUCUGAACAUUUAGAAACUCUUAUCUAUUCAAUGUACUUCUGUGCAGAGAAACAAGAACAGAUGGAUACUUCCUUAACACCUGCUGCUGUGGGAGUCUGCUGAAACACUUGCAAACUCUGCAGCCAGCCCCUGAAGAGUCCAUGCAGAAGCAAGUUUACCCUGAAGGACUACAGUCCAUGGAAGGGCAGAUGCUGGAGCAGAGGAAAACUAAGUGGAGGAAGGUGUGAGAAAGAGAAGCUUUUAUGGCCUGGGUGCAAUCCCCAUUCUUUCUGCACCAGACUGGGGGUAGGAGCGAGUUGGGAAUGAAAGAAUGAUGUGAAGCCUGAGAAAUGGGGGAUGAGAGUGGUGGAUGAGGCUUUACUUUUUCUUUAUUUUUCUUACCAUCCUACUCUAUUUUAAUUGUUAAUAUUAACUAAUUUUCUCCCAGUCAAGCUGGUUUGCCCACAACAGUCAUUGGUGAGCAAUCUCCUUGCCCUCAUCUUAACCCAUGAGUUGUUUUCUUAUUUUUUCAUCCUGUCCCACUGAGGAGGAGCAGGGAAAGAGCAGCAGGGUAGGAGAUUGUUAGCCAUGGGUAAUCUACCAUACCAGUGUAUCAUCUUAGUAGCAUCUCUAAUUUGAACUGUAUCAAAUGAGAGUAUUGAAAAAGUCACAAUUUUAGAAAAAUAUGAGCAUGUAACUUCAUGUUCUUAAGCUAAGCCAAUGAAAGUUUUCACUUGCCACUUUGUGGGUAAAGCUGGACAUUCCAGUAAAAGACAUACAUACACCUUAUAAUUUUUUAAUUUCUCAAAACUUAUUCUUAGUAGUUUUCCUCAUUUCUCAUUUUUAAUUACAGAGAAGGGGUGGAAAUAAUUCAAAUUACCCCAAAUAACAUUCGAAAACUAAUUCUGGUUCUUCCUAAAUGUUCAAUUUGUAAGAUGUAUGCACAAAGUAGCAUUUGUCAA